rnacentral:rRNA from 1 species
CGCUGGCGGCAGGCUUAACACAUGCAAGUCGAGCGCACUCUUCGGAGUGAGCGGCGGACGGGUUAGUAACGCGUGGGAACGUACCCUUUUCUAAGGAAUAGCCACUGGAAACGGUGAGUAAUACCUUAUACGCCCUUCGGGGGAAAGAUUUAUCGGAGAAGGAUCGGCCCGCGUUAGAUUAGAUAGUUGGUGGGGUAACGGCCUACCAAGUCUACGAUCUAUAGCUGGUUUGAGAGGAUGAUCAGCAACACUGGGACUGAGACACGGCCCAGACUCCUACGGGAGGCAGCAGUGGGGAAUCUUGGACAAUGGGCGCAAGCCUGAUCCAGCCAUGCCGCGUGAGUGAUGAAGGCCUUAGGUCGUAAAGCUCUUUCGCCAGGGAUGAUAAUGACAGUACCUGGUAAAGAAACCCCGGCUACUCCGUGCCAGCAGCCGCGGUAAUACGGAGGGGUUAGCGUUGAAGCC